AUGUUAUCUUUUAUGUCAAAUGAAACUUCAUGUAAAGCAAAUCUUUUUGUUUCAUGUGUGUUUUCUAGCAUCUGCUGGCAUCAAAAUUUGUAUGACAAUCAUACGUUUGAGGAAUUACUGGAAAGAAAACUACUCAUGAAACAUUGUCUUUUUUCGGAAGGAUCAGCUUGUGAUAAUUGCUGGAAGAAGUAUUUUUCGGCUUGUAUGUCCUACUACUUGAAGCAAGCAACCUAUUUUUUUAGCCGAAUGCUUCUGAGCAAUCAAUACAUUUUGAGAAACACACUUUUUCCCUUUUUUUAA
rnacentral:rRNA from 1 species